rnacentral:rRNA from 1 species
GUUAAGCGACUAAGCGUACACGGUGGAUGCCCUGGCAGUCAGAGGCGAUGAAGGACGUGCUAAUCUGCGAUAAGCGUCGGUAAGGUGAUAUGAACCGUUAUAACCGGCGAUUUCCGAAUGGGGAAACCCAGUGUGUUUCGACACACUAUCAUUAACUGAAUCCAUAGGUUAAUGAGGCGAACCGGGGGAACUGAAACAUCUAAGUACCCCGAGGAAAAGAAAUCAACCGAGAUUCCCCCAGUAGCGGCGAGCGAACGGGGAGCAGCCCAGAGCCUGAAUCAGUGUGUGUGUUAGUGGAAGCGUCUGGAAAGGCGCGCGAUACAGGGUGACAGCCCCGUACACAAAAAUGCACAUGCUGUGAGCUCGAUGAGUAGGGCGGGACACGUGGUAUCCUGUCUGAAUAUGGGGGGACCAUCCUCCAAGGCUAAAUACUCCUGACUGACCGAUAGUGAACCAGUACCGUGAGGGAAAGGCGAAAAGAACCCCGGCGAGGGGAGUGAAAAAGAACCUGAAACCGUGUACGUACAAGCAGUGGGAGCACGCUUAGGCGUGUGACUGCGUACCUUUUGUAUAAUGGGUCAGCGACUUAUAUUCUGUAGCAAGGUUAACCGAAUAGGGGAGCCGAAGGGAAACCGAGUCUUAACUGGGCGUUAAGUUGCAGGGUAUAGACCCGAAACCCGGUGAUCUAGCCAUGGGCAGGUUGAAGGUUGGGUAACACUAACUGGAGGACCGAACCGACUAAUGUUGAAAAAUUAGCGGAUGACUUGUGGCUGGGGGUGAAAGGCCAAUCAAACCGGGAGAUAGCUGGUUCUCCCCGAAAGCUAUUUAGGUAGCGCCUCGUGAAUUCAUCUCCGGGGGUAGAGCACUGUUUCGGCAAGGGGGUCAUCCCGACUUACCAACCCGAUGCAAACUGCGAAUACCGGAGAAUGUUAUCACGGGAGACACACGGCGGGUGCUAACGUCCGUCGUGAAGAGGGAAACAACCCAGACCGCCAGCUAAGGUCCCAAAGUCAUGGUUAAGUGGGAAACGAUGUGGGAAGGCCCAGACAGCCAGGAUGUUGGCUUAGAAGCAGCCAUCAUUUAAAGAAAGCGUAAUAGCUCACUGGUCGAGUCGGCCUGCGCGGAAGAUGUAACGGGGCUAAACCAUGCACCGAAGCUGCGGCAGCGACACUAUGUGUUGUUGGGUAGGGGAGCGUUCUGUAAGCCUGUGAAGGUGUGCUGUGAGGCAUGCUGGAGGUAUCAGAAGUGCGAAUGCUGACAUAAGUAACGAUAAAGCGGGUGAAAA